rnacentral:rRNA from 1 species
AUGGCCAAAAUCUCCCUCUCACCACCACGAUUUCUCUCUCGGCGUUCUUCCCGUACCAUGUUCUGGGUUGUUCGUUCCUUCCUGCCGAGAGAUCGAUUCCGAGUUAUUGUUGUUUUGUUUGCGGUGGUCAUCUCUUUCGGUGUGCGUCUAUUUUUGUUUUGCCUGGAGCAGAGUUUAUCUAAUCUUCAGGUCGCCGGUGCUCCGUCUGGUUUUUGCUUGCUUUACUAUCUCAUCUCACUGUUGGAUUCAUUUUACCAAUCUUUCCCGGUUUGGUUGCCGGCCGCAAAUUCUUUCCUUUUUCCCCACUCGGUGGCUGUUGUGACUGAUUUCGGAGUUUCCUUUCAAUUUUGUUCUCUUUUAGUAGAAUUUCUGUUUGGUCUGACUUCGCAGCGGCAACAUGAUCAUGGCGGAAGAUUCAUGCUUUUGCCCAAUUGUUUCUGUACGGAUUUGUGUCGAACAGAUCUUCUAAUGUUCGGGGUUCGCAAUUCAAUUUCUCAGCUUGUAGACAUUGUUGCUUUUUGGAACUGA